rnacentral:piRNA from 1 species
UGACAGAUACAGUGACAGAAAGG